AUACGGAGGGUGCAAGCGUUACUCGGAAUCACUGGGCGUAAAGCGCGCGCAGGCGGCCAUUUAAGUUGGAUGUGAAAGCCUACGGCUCAACCGUAGAACUGCAUCCAAAACUAUUUGGCUAGAGUGUGCGAGAGGAAGAUGGAAUUAGUUGUGUAGGGGUAAAAUCCGUAGAGAUAACUAGGAAUACCAAAAGCGAAGGCAAUCUUCUGGAACACUACUGACGCUGAGGCGCGAAAGCGUGGGGAGCAAACGGAAUUAGAAACCCUAGUAGUCC
rnacentral:rRNA from 1 species